rnacentral:rRNA from 2 species
GUGUUGUGAAAUGUUGGGUUAAGUCCCGCAACGAGCGCAACCCUUAUCCUUUGUUGCCAGCGGUCCGGCCGGGAACUCAAAGGAGACUGCCAGUGAUAAACUGGAGGAAGGUGGGGAUGACGUCAAGUCAUCAUGGCCCUUACGACCAGGGCUACACACGUGCUACAAUGGCGCAUACAAAGAGAAGCGACCUCGCGAGAGCAAGCGGACCUCAUAAAGUGCGUCGUAGUCCGGAUUGGAGUCUGCAACUCGACUCCAUGAAGUCGGAAUCGCUAGUAAUCGUGGAUCAGAAUGCCACGGUGAAUACGUUCCCGGGCCUUGUACACACCGCCCGUCACACCAUGGGAGUGGGUUGCAAAAGAAGUAGGUAGCUUAACCUUCGGGAGGGCGCUUACCACUUUGUGAUUCAUGACUGGGGUGAAGUCGUAACAAGGUAACCGUAGGGGAACCUGC